UUGAAAAGCACAGCCCUAGGUGUCUGCACCAUGGACUGGGCUCCUCUCCUGCUCACACUUUUGGCUCACAUCACAGAGGCCUCAUCUCAGGCUGUGGUGACUCAGGAAUCUUCACUCUCUGUGACUCCUGGAGGGACAGUCACCCUCACUUGUGGAUUUAGCACUGGGGCUGUCACAACCAGUAACUAUGCUAAAUGGGUCCAACAGAAUCCUUACCAAAUACUCCAGGGUCUAAUACGUGAUACCAGCAAUCAGGUCCCAGGAGUUGCUGCCAGAUUCACAGGCUCUCUCCUUGGAAACAAAGCAUCUCUCACCAUCACAGGGGCCCAGCCUGAAGAUGAGGCCACCUAUUACUGUGUUCUGUGGUACAGCAACCAUUUCCACAGUGACACAUGCAGACGGGGAAGUGAGACAAGUGAACAUUGCUCAGCCUCAUAUUGUGCUCCUAAUAUCUGUGUUUGA